UUGCCAGCAACUUCCACCCUGAAUGCCGUCUCACGUGCCUCAGUGCCUUUGAACCUCCAGCUGCUUGACCUUCUGCUCUCAAAGAGUGAACUUAGCAAAGCCCAGGCUCACUGAAAUUCAGCACCCCUACUUAUCAUCCAUAUGCUACCCUGUGAACAGAAGGAAGCUGCAGCCUUGGGCGUACAAACAAUCUCCCCAACAUUCAGUGGGGCAGCACGGGUUGUCCCGGCGAGUGAAUGUAGUGGAAACGAUACUGCCCCUCCGGGGGAAGGAAGCUGUCUCCCCCUUCCCCCAUCUGCUGACUUGAUCCUACCAAGACGACCUGGAAACCACGUGUUGAAGACGGCAGAACUGCAUGGAAGGAGCUGUGUGCCUGAGUUAUUGUGUGGAAAGCCACCUGUCAAACACCUGAUUGGACUGUGAGGUUGAACAAAUCGGACGCCGGAGCUAUAGAGUAGCCUUGCUACAUGGCGUGGUCAAAGAUGGUGUUUCCCAAGAGGUUUGCAACACUCCUGCUGCUUACUCUGCCUUCACUUCAAGCAACAUAAUUUACAUCUCCUCAGCAGCACAGGGGUCCAGAGAAAAGGGGUUCAAAGUCAGAAAUACAUUCUCUCCUUUCGAUUUACCUUUGCUGCCCAUCUGUGCUGGCCCCACAGUCAGAGCCCGUAAGCCUGUCAAGAUCUCUGUCUAUAUCAGUAUUUCGUGAAUACAGAAAAAUGGGCUCCCUGGUGUGACUCCAUCUCAGAAACCAAAACAA